UUUUUGUUUGAAUGGAAAUUAUUAAGUGUGGAAGGAGUAAAAAAAAAAAAACAUAAUAUCUUCUCUCUCUCAGAUGCACGCACGCGAAACAACCUAACUUCGGAUUCACUCGAUCUAUCGCUCCCUCUCUCAAUCACGAUCUCACUAUACCUCUCACUCGAUCAGUUUCGUUCUCUCUCACCCUAGAUUCACGAUCGAACUCGACAUCUCUCUCUCACACUCGUUCUCUCUCGAACCCUAGCCUCCAAUCCGUUUCACUGAAUCACAAAUUCCAAUUCCUAAUUGAAGAAUCAAGGCUUACUGAACCCAAAUCGAAGCUUAGUGGAACGAAUCAAAGCUCUCUCAGCUCGUUACAGAGUCAUAAUUCCACCGCCUCUUCUCUCGAUCUAAAACUGGUGAGUUUUAACGAUGAAGGGUUUUUAGGUUUUAGCAUAUGUUUAUCUUUCAUUUUAAUCUUUGAUCUUUGAUUUUGAUGACUAAGGGUUUAAUCCUGUGUAAUUUUCUGUAAUCUCUUCUACUUUUGCUUUUAGUGUUGUGAAAUUCAUUGUUUUUUGCUUCUGACCGCCUCUGGUUCCCUUUACAUAGAUGUUCAAUAUUUGUGUAUCUUGUAGCCACUAACCAUUACAUAGAUGUUUGGGUGGGGAACCAAUCUCUGGCGGUACGCUUCCCUCGGUUGUUUUCUAUUUCGAUUCAGCAACAAUGUAAAGUAAGUGAUAUGGGGAUGAUGGAUGGUGACGGCUGGAAGUGGAAUCUGUUAUGGAGGAGGAAUUUCUUCUGGGAGGAACCUUUUUAUCAGUAGUUGUUAGCAGUAAUUGAUGGUUUUCAGCCUACAGCACAAGAUGAUGGUUGGAGUUGGAGGCCUGAUCCUGCGUCGGGGUUUACGGCGAAGUCUGCGUAUCAGAAUCUUAUCUUGCUGCAUCGCUCUGAAACUGAGAUGGAUCAUCUUCGGAACUUUGUCUUCAGUAAUAUAUGGAAAAGCGACGCGCCGUCAAAAGUUGUAGCUUUUUCGUGGCAAUUGAUGCUUAAUAGAAUUCCAACAAAGGCGAAUUUGACGUUGAGAGGGAUUGGUAAUGAUAUGGUCUGCUCCUUCUAUAAUGUGACUGCUGAAAAUACACUUCAUAUGUUCCUUCACUGUGGAACUUCGGCGAAAAUCUGGUAUGAGCUUGUGCAAUGGAUUGGCCAGGAGUUGCUGCUUCCACCGAGUUUUAGCCUCUCCUUCUCUAUGAUGGUAGGGUGUGGGACUGGUAAGAAAGGUAAAAAGGGGCUUAUGUUAAUUUGGCACGCGUAUAUUUGGAGAUGUUCCUUCUUUAUAUUUAUUUACUAUUGAUUAUACUUAAUCUGUUAACAUAAGAUAUAUUGAAAGAAAGUGAUCAGUUCAGGCACACUUUUUUCUCACUAUUAAGCUAUAUAUGCUUCUCUGUAUGACUAUCUUGUGUUUCAAAGGGACUUGUUGAUAUGCGGAUCUCUGAAUGUAACUUAUAUUGUUCAAUUGUCAUUUUCUGACUCAAGCAGUGCUACUCUUGAAGUUUGUAGAUCAUGGACAAUGGCUGAAUUAUUUACUACGUUAACAACUAUCACAUGGAUUAUUAGGCUAACAUAGUCAUCAAACUAAAAUGUUCCUAGAAAUCAAAGAAAAGUUUAAAGAAGCUGAUAAAAAUGAUCUUGAAGGCAUGUUAAAUAUGAAGAUUCAAGAUUUGGAUACUGUAGAGGAACUUAGAAUCAAAAGAGCGGACAAACAUGGAAUUGUUAAUUAUGAAGAUUUAGAGAUUGCUAUUGCAUCCGAAAACGUUGUUCAAGUCUGUGGCAUGAAGAUUUAGAGAUUGCUAUUGCAUCCGAAAACGUUGUUCAAGUCUGUGGCUUUGUCAACAUCACCUUGGUAAUCAUAGUUUUGAUAGUUGAUUUACACUUGAUGUAUGUGUUAACUGUACUCUAGGCUAUGUUAAUUACUUAAGUUGAUUAGGAUGUAUUCUAGCUAGCUAAAACCAUUUUAAUUACUUAAGUUUUAGUCAUGUUUUAGUCAUUUUAAUUACUUAGCAUGAUAUCUCUCUUUUAUUCACCAGGUUCUUUAGGAAGUGUAUUGUGAUUUUGUUAGUUUUAUGUGUGUAAUUACUUAUUGAUUAAUCAAAAGCAUGAUAUCUCUCUUUUAUUCA